rnacentral:rRNA from 1 species
GCUUACAGCCAAACCAYCCUGAACCCACCCAAUCUCGUYUCAUCUCRGAAGMUAAGCAGGGUUGGGUCUGGUUAGUACUUGGAUGAAAGACCACCUGGGAAUACCAGGUCCUGUAAGUU